ACAUCUCGUGGGGUACGGGGGUGGUGGGGGUGCGGCAGGGAGGGGGCGUCUGAAAGUGUCUCGGAUCCAGCCUUAAACUCUUCUGCCUCUUCGUGACCCUGGAUCUCACCGUGGAGGCUUCUGACUCCACCCUCCCCGAAGGGCCGGGAAGCCGGGGUCUGAGACGGGAAGUCUUGAGGUCGGAGCCUGGCUUGGCAUGGCCCGGGCAAGUCGCUGCACCUCUGGGUGCCGCCUCCCUUGCCCGCUCCCCUGAGAGAACUCCCUACAGGGACGAGAGGCGGCGGAAGGGACUCAGCGGGCGUCUGCAAGGAAGGUGGGGGCGGGGGGCGGUGUUGAGGAUCGGCGGAGGCGUCGCGACGAGGGAUGUGUCCGCCACCCCCAGCCUCUGCUCAAACCCAGGGCAGGCUUGGGGGUCCAUUGUUCCGGUCCUACAGCGCUCAGCUGGGGCCUUGCCGCGAGCUGUUGCUGCCACCUGCUGGUUCUCCGCGGGAACACAGGCACCUGGUGGAAUUCCCUCGGGCCUUUUCUUCCCCCCUCCCCUUAUCGCCCUGUGCCAUCUUCCUCUCCAAAGUCCUUCUUUUAGUCGAGACGCGUUUACUAAAGCACUAGCCGCAAUUGGGCUGAUCCAAACUGGUAGUUCGGAGCCAUCAGCAACCGAGGAAAAUUGUGAAAGAGAUCUGUGAGCCAACAAGCACAAUAAACAAAACAAUGAAACUUUAGGCGGCACCUGGGAGAAACAAACAGGCUUUAGCGAAUUGGCUGAAUGAGUGAUAUAAGGAAAGAUAAAGGCGGCUGAACAAGUCCCCACUUGGCAAGAGGGUUGUUCACUCCCAAUACCUGGAGUUAAUUGAGAAGCCUGACGUUGGACGACUCUGCACGUGGACAUCAUUAAUAAGUCCACGCGCAACGAAAGGCCAAUGGGCAUCUUUCUGUUCGGAAAGCUCACCUGGGCAGCUGUCCUAGGAGAGAUGACACAGAGAUCCAGGAUGCGACUAUCCGACUAUCCGAGGCUUUUCACUGUUGCCACAAAAGGUGUUUUUCCAGCUUCGUGCCAUGGACAUCUUCCUCAAACACAUUCAUACAUGUGGAGGCCGGAAAGGAGGCUCUGACUCAACAGCCGUUGGACAGAUUGCUCUUCAAACAACUGUCUUGCGUUGAGUUCUGUCUCGUGUUCUGACUACAUCCCUGUGGACCCGAGGAGCUCUGUGAAAACAGUGCUGCCUCCCCUGCUGCUUUCUCCCCUCCUCGUCCCGAGCUGCGUCCUCUCUGAAAUUUAUCUGAGCAUUGUGUGCGAGCAAUUUAUUUGAAAGGCUGCUGUCAUCUUCUCCCUGGACAUCAUCUCUGUGGCUCAGUGAUUUCCUGCUCACCCCCACCUCCACCGAGUGUUUAUGUGACUUCGACCCAGCUUUAUCCUGACAGUAGCGAUUCCCUGAGAAUCUAGUGUGCAGAGGGAAACCCACCAUGACAGCAGAAGAAUUUGAGGAGAAGCUUGCUAGAGAGGUGGGCUCUCGCCUAAGAAAGUGCCGACCUUCAGUUCUGCUUGUCGGGCUGACCCCCCUCAUCUGGCCGAAUUCCUCCCUUUUGGAGAUCAACUGCCACGAAGUAGAGGGAUCACAUCUUCACUCACAUUUUAACAUAUGAAUGACUUAAAUGUAUUGAAUGAAUAAGCGAUAUUGCAGACGGAGAUGGAGAAUGAGGAGAUAUGUUCUUAAGGCAUCAGCCAUACGGAAGGAGCCCCAAGCUCCUGAGUCGUGACAUGGAUCAAGGACUCAGGAGCCAGCUGGCUACUCUGAUCUGACUGAUAUGUCUCUUCACCCUCCAAUCUGCUGUGCCGUCGCUAAGGAGGAAGAUUGCGUUAGACUCUGCCCGGCGAUGAUCAUGAGCCAAAGCUGCCGAUGAGUGAUGUCAGCUCUUCUGGGCUAUGCAGGACCCACACACAGCCUUUGCUGGUGUGAACGUCUGCCAGCCUCACGGAAGCAUGACGUGGUCCCAGCAAGGGCAAGCACGAUUCCCUCCUCCUUGGGUUUGCUGCCACCUUCUGUUUACCCUCCUUCCAUCUUCGGGACUAACUCAACAAAAAUUCCAGGAGCAAAGA